rnacentral:lncRNA from 1 species
AACGGCAGCUCAGAGGUGAAAUUUUGGGCAGGAAAUAGCGCAUGGAUGGAAAGAAAGAUGCCGAGGGGGGUCGUGAAGCCUUAUAGGGCAGCUCGGUUCGCUCUGGGCAAGAAAUCCUGGAGAAAUCGGGAUCGGAUGCGCCCCUGGGAGAGUCCCGGUCGGCAACGACGGGAGGAAGAAGAUGAUACCGCUGACAUGUGGGGCCGGGCUGCAGUGAGAGAGAAAUGGGAAAGGGGUGGCACGGGCUUGUCCCAGCUGGGCUGCUGCUGCGACAUGGGCCAAGAGAGAGGGGAGGGGGUUUGGGCCACAGCUCUGCAGGCUUGGGCCGAGGCCGAGAGGAGCAGGCCUUGAGGCCGAAUUCCAAAGAGAGGGGAGAGGUUCUCCUUUUUUUGUUUUUCUUUUAUUCUUUUCUUUCAAGCCAUUUUCAAAUCUAUUUUGAAAGUCACUUUGAAAUACUUUUGAACCUUAGUCAAACCACUCAUGUCAACAAAAAUUAAUGC